rnacentral:lncRNA from 1 species
GCUGAAAUCAAAAAAUUUACAUGAUCCAUUGUAUUGUCCAUUUCUUUACGAACUCCCCCCCUUGUUGUCAUCAUCAAAAUCACAUGAGGAGAAAUAAGAUGAGAUCUUUGGUAGGUUUACCUCUUUAAUUUAAUUUCUAAGCUAGACUUGCCUAUUUAAUUUGAUGUAAUUUUGAUUAAAAAAAAAUUCUUACAAGGUGUGUUGGCUAGUCUAGAGUAUGUAAUUUGAAAGUAGAAAGUCAUAAAAAAUAUUUACAUGUAACAUUCACAACAAGACACAAGGAGACAAAGAAGAAAAGAAAAGAG